AACACGUGGGUUCAUUUAACACACUGUAAAAGAGUCAUUUCAGCUGAGUACUCAAAUAGGAAAGGUGAGCAAAAGUCUGAUAACGGAGCGGGAGCCGUGGUAAUCUGAAAACGCUUGCUGGUCAGUGAAGAAAAAAGACACCAACCCUUUUAGUGAGAACUCAGCAGAAAGGCACACCCACGUUGGUUAUGAGAUUCGAUAGGUUGUUACGUAGGAACUUUGGCUACUAUGGUGUUGGUUUUGUUUAUGUGGUACAUGGGACGUCCCACCCUAAAUGAUACAACUAAUUUUUUAGAUAGAAAAUCACCUACCAACUGGACCAAUAUGACGAAAUUUUGAAUCAUUAACUCUUAUCAAAAGGAGUACAGCUGAUGAUCAGGACUGUGGGCAUGGCCUCCAAACGCGGCAAACCGGUUUAAUAUUUUGUGCCCCCCAAAAUCAAACUGCUUUAAUCAUAAUUCCAUAUGCGGCUCUCACCAAUGAUGCUCAAGAGAAUGGGCAGAAUUGGGGAUUUGGAUAUGACUGGUAUGCAACUAUAGGCUUUGGAUGGGAACACCUCAUUGGUGUAACAGGUUAUGAUUGGUCCAGUUGGUAAAAAAAAAAACAGCAAAAGAACAUAGAAAGAAGUUUAACAUAAGCAAAACGGCCCAUAGUUUAAUAUUGAAAUACAAAUCAAGUCACCCAGUGUGUUUGAUGAUGAGCUUGUGGGCAUAUUCUGACGGAAAAGAUCCCCAAUUCCGAGUAGCAUUGUGUUAUGGGAACCGUGUUAAACCAGAAAUGCCAUGGAAAACUUCAAAGAAAGGUGGACAAAUUUUAAUGGUUAAAAACAUAACUACCGAUGAUUGGUUCCUUGUUGUCACAGGAGUUUCAGGACAAAAUAACAAUUGGUAUAGUUCCGGCAAAAUUAUCACAAGAUUGUAUUAUUCCAUUAAUGAACGCUACUGUACCAACUGAGAGGUGUAAAUCAUGGGAUCCUAUAUAUCCCGUAACAAAAGCAGAUAAACACAAACCAAUGUUUUCUACUUUAGUAGCACCAAAUAAUUUCACUUGUAUAAACAUGAUUAGUAAAGGCAAAAAAUUAGGACCACUCAACGACACACAGUGUAAAGUAACCUUAAAAGUCGGACCAAAGUUUAUGCCAGUAUCACGGAGCGACAUCUGGUGGUGGUGCGGAGAUGAUAGACUGUUUGAUAGAUUAGCUAAAGAUAUAUCUGGAUUGUGCGCUAUUAUCACUUUGAUAUUCCAUGUGUCAGUAUACCCUAUGCCUGUUCAAGAUUUAAUGGAAAGGGCACCAAUGUUUUUGUCCAAUCUAGAACAUAGACAAAAAAGAGAUUUAUCCUGGCAGAGGCAAAAUUAUCCAACAUAAAACAUACAUCGACGCCAUAGGUGUUCCUCGUGGGGUUCCUAAUCAAUACAAAUUAGCUGACCAAGUUGCAGGAGGAUUUGAAUACUUCAUAUGCUGGUGGUGUACGAUUAAUAAAAAUGUUGAUGGGAUAAACUAUAUCCACUUCAAUGUACAGAGAUUAGGAAAUUGGACUCAGAGUGGGUUGGAAGCUGUGCAUGAGCAGCUCAAGGACGUUCCAAGACCGCAUAGCUGUCGACAUGCUCCUCGCAAGAGAGGGAGGUGUUUGCGGUAUGUUUGGAGAACAAACAAUACUGCUUCAGAUGGCAGCUUGACCAGAGCCAUCGAUGGUCUACGGACCCUCAAUCAACACUCCUUGUGGGACAGCUGGAUGGACGUUUUUGCAAUUACCCACAUGGAACCGUAUGGAGCAGAUUAUUAUGGACGACUUUGAGAAAGGGAGAUGUCUCGCCUUCAAGAAGAUGACUCAGCAGGAAUCAUCAGAGAGAAGGACGUGGCCGG